rnacentral:misc_RNA from 1 species
AACCAUAGAAACCUGCGGAGUACCUGCGGAAGGAUCAUUAUAGUAUAUGGAAUCUCCAUUCUAUAAACCCACUCUGCGUAUCUCGUAACUGUUGCUUCCAUGGGACUUGGUUCCGCCACACCGGCUUCACGGCUGGUGAGCGCCCAUGGAAGGAGAAACAAAACUCUUCUUUGAAAUGUAGUCAGUCUGAACAAGUUUUUAUAAACGUUAAAACUUUUAGCAAUGGAUCUCAGAUCGGAA